CCUACGGGUGGCACCAGUGGGGAAUAUUGCACAAUGGGCGCAAGCCUGAUGCAGCCAUGCCGCGUGUAUGAAGAAGGCCUUCGGGUUGUAAAGUACUUUCAGCGGGGAGGGAGGCGAUAAGGUUAAUAACCUUGUCGAUUGACGUUACCCGCAGAAGAAGCACCGGCUAACUCCGUGCCGGCAGCCGCGGUAAUACGGAGGGUGCAAGCGUUAAUCGGAAUUACUGGGCGUAAAGCGUACGCAGGCGGUCUGUCAAGUCGGAUGUGAAAUCCCCGGGCUCAACCUGGGAACUGCAUUCGAAACUGGCAGGCUGGAGUCUUGUAGAGGGGGGGUAGAAUUCCAGGUGUAGCGGUGAAAUGCGUAGAGAUCUGGAGGAAUACCGGUGGCGAAGGCGACCCCCUGGGCAAAGACUGACGCUCAGGUGCGAAAGCGUGGGGAGCAAACAGGAUUAGAUACCCCAGUAGUC
rnacentral:rRNA from 1 species